rnacentral:rRNA from 1 species
AUACGGAGGGAGCAAGCGUUAUUCGGAAUCACUGGGCGUAAAGGACGCGUAGGCGGGUUUGUAAGUCAGGUGUGAAAUCCUAUAGCUCAACUGUAGAACUGCACUUGAAACUACAGACCUAGAGUAUGGAAGGGGCAGAUGGAAUUAGUGGUGUAGGGGUAAAAUCCGUAGAUAUCACUAGGAAUACCGAAAGCGAAGGCGAUCUGCUGGGACAUUACUGACGCUGAGGCGUGAAAGCGUGGGGAGCAAACAGGAUUAGAAACCCGAGUAGUCC